rnacentral:rRNA from 1 species
AUACGAAGGGGGCUAGCGUUGUUCGGAAUUACUGGGCGUAAAGCGCGCGUAGGCGGACUGAUCAGUUGGGGGUGAAAUCCCAGGGCUUAACCCUGGAACUGCCUCCAAUACUGUCAGUCUUGAGUUCGGGAGAGGUGAGUGGAAUUCCUAGUGUAGAGGUGAAAUUCGUAGAUAUUAGGAAGAACACCAGUGGCGAAGGCGGCUCACUGGCCCGAUCCUGACGCUGAGGCGCGAAAGCGUGGGGAGCAAACAGGAUUAGAAACCCCAGUAGUCC